rnacentral:rRNA from 2 species
AGCUCUGAUAGUAUAUAUUAAAGUUGUUGCAGUUAAAAAGCUCGUAGUUGAAACUUGGGUGCGUAGGGGCGGUCUCUUUUAGAGUACUACCCUGAAACAUCUUUCUUUGGUGUAAACUUUCUAUUUAUUUAGGAAGUGUAAACCAAACAUUUACUUUGAAAAAAUUAGAGUGUUCAAAGCAGGCCUUUGCUCGAAUAUAUUAGCAUGGAAUAAUAGAAUAGGACGUAUGGUUCUAUUUUGUUGGUUUCUAGGACCGUCGUAAUGAUUAAUAGGGACGGUCGGGGGCAUCAGUAUUCAGUUGUCAGAGGUGAAAUUCUUGGAUUUACUGAAGACUAACUACUGCGAAAGCAUUUGCCAAGGACGUUUUCA